UUACUUGCUGAAGAAGCGCGUUCUCCAUCUCAGGACUCAGCUGCACAUCGACAAAAUAAACCUUUUGCGUCUCAAACUGAAGGUAAAACUAAUGAUUAGUUUUUAACCUAACCAAGUGAAAAAUAAAGUUGUGGAUAUUACUGCUGGGGGUCUAGGAGGCUGAUUGCCGGCAUCCAUCUGGCCAGGGAUCAGUGGUGGUCCGGGAAAUUGUAUUCCUGGUGAAUUCUCUGGUCGACCAGGAAUCCACGCAGAUCCUCUAUCUGCUUGUGUGAAACUCCCAACUUGAUUGAAGUCUGUCCGCAAUAGUGAACCUCCCAUCUAUAUACACUCAAAUACAAGAGCAUGUCAAAGCCCAUAGAUCACAGGUGUUGAACACAAAUAAAAAAUGUACCCACGAAUUAUUUCCCUCCGGAAAACAACAACAACUACCCAGUAAACUCCCACCAAGUGGGGUCUGGGAAGGGUAAUGAAAUGCCAUGAAAUAUUUCCCUCUGGAAACAACAACAACAACAACAACCCAGUAUAAUCCCACUUAGUGGGGUCUGGGGAGGGUAGUAUGUACGCAGACCUUACCCCUGCUCUGGGGUAGAGAGGCUGUUUCCAAAUAGACCCCCGCAUCCUUCCCUCCAAAAACUUCCAACCUUGCUUUUGGGGAGACUCGAACUCACAACCUCUCGGUUGGAAGUGGGGGUUGCUUACCAUCAGAGCAACCCCUCUGGAAACAUUAUACUAAUAACUUAUCUAGUAUAUUGCUAUGAAAUGCCAUGUUACAGAAAAAUGAUUGAAAAUGAGUAACUAGCUACAGUUUAUCAAGGUUGAUUACAAGAUACCACUCUAUCCUCCUCAUCUAUGCAAUAGUUAACAGAAAAGUGAAACACACGGUCAAAACUUUUUCCUAAUCAGGCAGACACAGUCAAACAUUGGGGACUCGAGUAGAAAAUUUGACAAAAUAUUCAACCGGUUGCCUUUGAAAGCAAAAAUAUGCACUAAAUACAAGCAAGAAACAGCAAAGAAAACAGGAAUAAAUUUGCGAAAAGACAGUUUAUUAAUAAAGCCCUAUAGCUGUCUAUGUAACUGCUCUAUUGUGAAAAUAACAUUGCUUUUGAACUUUGAUUGAAGCUCAACUUACAAAAAUAGAUACGCUUCAACUUCUCCCAUGUUUUACUUGAACCUAGAUGCAAGGUAUGUAGCGCGGACUCUCCAAAAUAUUGCCGCACCCGUGUCGGAUUCUUCAAAAAUACACUACUUUUGGAGUAUCCGACACGCACCCGACAAUAUUUUCGGGGAGUCUGAGCAACAUAGGAUGCAAGUUAUACAAGUACAUCUGAAAUACAAGUAAAGGAAUGCAGAGUGUGUGUGUAUCUACAGUCCUUAGGUAGAAUUUGUCUGGUAUAGGAACACAUUGCAUCACAACAAGAAAUUAAUUUAUAAGUCACAAAGUCCAAUAAUAGCAUGGUUUAUCCAACCUAUCUAUGCCAGUUAUUAUUAUACUUUGGUCUUCGUAAUUAUCCACUGAAAAUUCCAAAGGUCUUCAGCAGCUGUCUCCAAUUGACAACUCUAAAUGCAUGAAGAUGAAUAAAGUAAAUACAACAACUACUACCACCACGCCACAAUCCCAAGCAAGUCGAGUUAAGUUAUUUGAACCUUCCCGUCCAUGUUAUUUUAUUUAAGUCUGUCUGGUUUCAACAUUAAUAAAUUUCAGUUUCUUUAGCAUUAAAAGUUCUUUAUAUUUACUAACAUAACAAACUUAAUCCUACCUAAUUGCUAUUGCCUAUAUAGAUCUUUUUCUUCAUUAUGCCAUAUAUUUUCUCUAGGUGUGCAUGAACUCCAGGAGAUUGCAGGUCCUCUGGGACAACUCUCCUGUAUGCGAUUUUAGGUAUACCUCAUUCUUUUUAACACAUCUAAUCAUCAUGGUUUCACACCUACAUGCUAGUGUAAAUGGAUGUUGAUGUAGUAUAUGAUCAAACCAAUUUUCUAAGAAGUCAUCACUUUGUCACUUAAGGUGAUAAGCGUUGCGGGGGNNNNNNNNNNNNNNNNNNNNNNNNNNNNNNNNNNNNNNNNNNNNNNNNNNNNNNNNNNNNNNNNNNNNNNNNNNNNNNNNNNNNNNNNNNAUGAGUCACAUGUUUAAUAUCAGCAUUAUUAUAUAUUAUAUGUUGAAUAUUAGUUAUGUAAUUGUGAUUUGAUUAUUAUAGUACUAAACUGAUAUAUUUUUGGUAUUUUUUUUCUAAAAAAAUUCACUCUUACUUCAAAAGAGUGUGCACUUCACUUCAAGUCCCAAAGACCACGUUGCUUUUUUCUUUUUUAAAAACGUUUUUCCCUCGUAAAAACACUGGACUGAACAAUCCCAAGUGACUUUUUCUUAUUUUAUCAACUAAGUGCUUUACCUGCACCGUCGGCAUGAUCAUUUUUAAUCCACCUUAACAAUUGCAAUUUUGUAACACAUAUCUUGUGGAUAUUUUAGACUUUAGAGGCCCGAUCUUUACUUACACAAUAUUGUUGUUGGUCUUAACAAUCGUUUGAUAGAACUUGUCUUUUACUUUGGUAGGAAUCAUUCUAUCAGAUAACACUUUAAUAACACCUCUCCAAUUUAACCACCUUAUUCAGAUUCUAUGUGUAUUAACAUCAUCUAUCAAACAUCUAUCAGGGACGUGAUGAUUGGAUCACAGGUCAUCGACAAGAGGGACAGUGUCAGAUAUCUUGGGUCAGUGAUUCAGGGGGACGGAGAGAUUGACGGGGACGUCACUCAUCGCAUAGGAGCGGGNNN
rnacentral:lncRNA from 1 species